UGAGGAAUAUUGGUCAAUGGGCGCAAGCCUGAACCAGCCAUGCCGCGUGCAGGAUGACGGCCCUAUGGGUUGUAAACUGCUUUUAUUAGGAAAGAAACCCCCGAUCGUGAUCGGGGUUGACGGUACCUAAGGAAUAAGGAUCGGCUAACUCCGUGCCAGCAGCCGCGGUAAUACGGAGGAUCCUAGCGUUAUCCGGAUUUAUUGGGUUUAAAGGGUGCGUAGGCGGAAUAAUAAGUCAGUGGUGAAAUCUUCCGGCUCAACUGGGAAACUGCCAUUGAUACUGUUGUUCUUGAGUAUAUUUGAGGUGGGUGGAAUGUGUCAUGUAGCGGUGAAAUGCUUAGAUAUGACACAGAACGCCAAUUGCGUAGGCAGCUCACUAAACUAUAACUGACGCUGAGGC
rnacentral:rRNA from 1 species